UACCGCAUAAGAUCCGCAAGGAUGAGAGCCGUAAGGCGCUGAUGGAGGGGCCCGCGCACGAUUAGCUAGUUGGUGAGGUAAUGGCUCACCAAGGCUAUGAUCGUUAGCUGGUCUGAGAGGAUGGCCAGCCACACUGGAACUGAGAGCGCGGUCCAGACUCCUACGGGAGGCAGCAGUGGGGAAUCUUGCACAAUGGGCGAAAGCCUGAUGCAGCGACGCCGCGUGGGGGAUGAAGCUUCUCGGAGUGUAAACCCCUUUCGACCCGGACGAAUACCUCGCAAGAGGGGUGACGGUACGGGUAUAAGAAGCCCCGGCUAACUACGUGCCAGCAGCCGCGGUAAGACGUAGGGGGCCAGCGCUGUUCGGAAUUACUGGGUGUAAAGGGUUCGUAGGCGGUGUGGCAAGUCGGGAGUGAAAUUUCUGGGCUCAACUCAGAGACUGGUUCCGAAAUUGCUGUGCUGGAGUGUGGGAGAGGCGCGUGGAAUU
rnacentral:rRNA from 1 species